UCGUAGUGGAUCGUAUGGGAGCAGUGUCUAUAUAUAUAGGCGGGUGAAAAUUAUGUUUCGAGGAUUAGCAAACAAACAUAUUAUUUCUUGAUGAAGUGAGCAUUAAUUAAGUGUCAUUAGGUGAAACGAUAAUAAUUUAAACUUGGAGAUGUCUCUCUAAUUGAUGCGACCCUCUAAAAUAUUUCCUGGCGGACAACGAGGCUGUAAUUUCCUAGGUUUUUCCUUUCACUCAUCGGGUCAUUUUCAUAUUUACUUAAUGGAUAAUUGUUCGUGUCAAUAAACUUGAAUGAUUUAUUGAAAAGUUUGGUCAUCGAAGUUACCAGAGGGUCAGCUUAUGUAGUAUAUAAGGCGACUUCAAAGAAAAAAGUUGCAAAGCAUCCGUCUAUUAAACCAAAUAAAUCCAACUUAACUAUUAUAGACACUUUUAAGGAUGUUUUUUUUUGUCUUGUUUCUGUCAGUUAACCAGCUCUGAGCUUAUACCUAUGAAAACUGGAGACAGACUUGUGUUUUACUUUCGGACAACAGUCUUUUGGUUGGUUGUCUGGAUUUGCAAUUAUCUUGCAAACAUAAGAUGAAAACGGAAAACAUAUGAAGUACGUAAUAUGAUUGAUGCUAUAAUUUUCUCUUAGGAUUGAUAUUAUUUAAUUCGGAGUACCACGCAAGAUGCAUUUGCUACAUACACUACUAUUACUGAAUAAUUGAAACAUUACUUAUAUAUAGUAAACAAAUGGAGCCACCUACCGAAAUAAAAAAUUUAUAUACAUAUAUCAAUCAGCCAAUGCAGGAGAUGCAUGCAUUUUACAUUUUUUUCCUAUUCCAUCGCGAUUGCUUUAGUCAUUGUAAUUCGUCCAAAGAUCUUCUUGCAUUUAAAUAUAUAGAUCUAUUUAACUUUAUCCUUUUUUCAGCAAGAUGUAACUUUAUGCUUUAAAUCUUGACUUGUCUUUAUGGCCAAACCAUAUUUUUCUUCUUAGAUUAAACAAGAGAACGUAUUUGGAAUCCGUUUGGUUAGCUAUGAAAGACAUGAGGGUCACAAGUAGAUAGGCUAGGCUUGUGGUGAAGAUCGGCACAGAACUCAUGAGCUUAUUUGCACAAAUUGACGGUGGAUGCGUAUGACAUAAUAGAUGAUGAACUAACAUAGUGCAGUGCCAAAGGAUAUACAUACACCUUUGAAACAUUAACCAUAUCUUUUUCACAGUGCAAUGCCAAAGGAUAUACAUACACCUUUCAUAUUUUGUGCUGUCUUUUACACUUCAGGUAUUUAAUUAUAGACCAACAACUUUAGAAAAACAAAACUGAUUUGACAGAAUAUUUGAAAUUUACAGAGUUGAUUGUGCUAAAAAAAACUUAUUUGGCAAAAUGGUUUUAGGGCAGAUUAGGUUGAAAUUUUGGUAAACGUCCCUUUUACCUAUUCGGUAAUAUCUUCUCCUAUAUUUAGUGGUGCAAGGCAACUUGUGGAUACGAUUUAUCAAUACUCCAGUAACUUGUGGAGACCAAUGACUAAUGAUUUGAUUGUAAAUAAUAUACUUUAUUAUGGUUUAUUUGAUUGUAAAUAAUAUACUUUAUUUGAUUGUAAAUAAUUUACCUACUAGGUGUUAUGCCCGCAUGUGCGGGCAUAGUAUUCUUAUAGAUAUUUAUUUGUUUAUAACUAUUAAAUCAAAAUCAACAUAAUAAAUUAUUAAUUAUAUUUUUAAAAAGAUAAAUUAAACAUUACAUAUAUUAUAGAUAUGUAAUAUCAAACAUUAAAAAUUUUAUAAUAAAAUAUUAAUUUCAGAUAACAA